rnacentral:pre_miRNA from 1 species
UAGUCUCUUCCCUUGAGUGUAGUCCCUGGAAUUCAAUACUAUACUCAGGUUGGGGGCUAAU